ensembl:snRNA U1 U1 spliceosomal RNA
UUACAUUUUAAGAAUUUAUUGAAGAAAGUCACAAAUACAAGUUUUUUAAGAAAGAAUAAUCUGUAUCCAUUGCACUCCAGAUGUGCUGACCCCUGUGAUUUCCCCAAAUUCGGUAAACUCGACUGCAUAAUUUGUGGUAGUGGGGGACUGCAUUCACACUUUGCCCUU